UACGGAGGGGGCGAGCGUUAUUCGGAAUUAUUGGGCGUAAAGGGCGCGUAGGCGGCUGGACAAGUCAAAGGUGAAAUCCCUCGGCUCAACUGAGGAACUGCCUUUGAAACUGUCCGGCUUGAGGCCGGGAGGGGGUAGCGGAAUUCCCAGUGUAGCGGUGAAAUGCGUAGAUAUUGGGAGGAACACCAGUGGCGAAGGCGGCUACCUGGACCGGUACUGACGCUGAUGCGCGAAAGCGUGGGUAGCAAACAGG
rnacentral:rRNA from 1 species